AUACAUAAACUUUGUAAACAUAUUAAAGUGUCAGAUUUUAGUAGCUCUGGUUCAUGUGGAUGUCCGUAAGUGUUAGUCAAGAAACGCAAUGGAAAUCUUGUUCCACGAGCUGACUGCUCCUAUGUUUCUGGUUCGGACAAGAAACUUCUCCUCUUCCUUCGACUUAAAACAGAAGCUCACUUCAUAAGGGAGAUGAGGAAAAAGGGACUCAAGCUCUACAACUCCUGUAACUUCCCACCAAAAUGCUAUCACCAGAGAAUCUGCGCACUUGGUGGGCCCUCAAAUGUCUGAAAUCGCAUGUAAGAAGCAACAAAACAUCUGAGAAAUGCCCGUGCGUCAAAGCAAUGUUUUCAAAUGGGCUGUUACACAUCUGCUGAAUUUUGAAUUCGAAAGUAGUUGCAUGCAAACCGAGUUAGAGAGGCAAAGUGUUUGCAGGGUGGAGCCCUUCACUCGUGACCGUGACCAGAAGCAGAUGCUGGAAGAUCAGCAAUCCAGCAUCAACAGAGGAACCAACAGAGGGGCCACCAGAGGAACGACCAAAGGUAUGAACAUUGUGUGUCACAAAAACACCGUUACAGUAGAAGGCAGAAGGCAAUCGCCAACAUCAGAUACUGAUAGGCUACCAAUAACAUACAUCGUAGUAGUUCUGAAUCCAAAUUGCAGUUCCACUAAGUCAUACAAAUAAGUUUACUCCCAGAUGUAGGAGUUGCGGUGCAAACAUAGGAUUUUUCUAUCACUUUUCUUAUCGUAGGAGUUUCCAAAUACAGUCCGUGGCUUGCUGGUAGUCCACAGGGUCAUGGCAAAUGGGCUGCCGGUCAUUCACAGACCCAUAGCAGAUAAUACUUCAUUUCAGUGAGUUAAAAGGUCAAUGGGAAAGGUGCACAGCUGUCAGAACUAAGUUUUGAGGGUUGAUGGUUGCCUGCAGAGACAAAGUAUUUUGGAACUAUUGACUUAAUCAUACUUUUUUUCUAAGUAAACUGUAAUCACUGGCAAAUACAUAGAACUUAUUUAUUUGUAUGCUAUUUUAUACUCAGCUGUGUAUUAAUUUAUCUGGUAGGACCCAAACAAGCAACUUGUUAAUCUUAAUUGCUCUUAUCAGAACAAAUCCAAAUAUCUUUGCUAAUAGUACAUUCGCUUUUGAACUUCUAUUUAUCUUGUCUGCUCUGUCUAAUUACGGACCAAAUCCUCUGCACUCCAUAGCAGACUUCAGAGAAGUUUUGCCCCUGUACGGUGGACUGUUUGAUUACUUCUGAUCAUGAAACAGAAAUUUAGGAUGCUUAAACUAGAAACUUCAGUAGGAGUUGGAGAAAUGAAAGGACUGCAGACUGGACUUCUCUGCUAAGAAAGAUUACUUUGUUAAUAGAUACAAAAUAAGUAAUGCUUCAAGACCAGGUCCUUCUGCUGGGGAAAAUUAACAAAGAAGCUUUAGUUUAUAGCAGCUGAGAGGCUGGCCCAGCGUAUUCCGAACUAGUCAGUUCAGGCUCUGUUUUUCUUUUAUCUUAAAUGUGAGAGUCUACAAUGUAAUACAUAGAAUGGAGGACUCAGAUAUUAAAUGAAAUGCAGUAACACUGGCUGCUUAAUGGCAAGUGGAUUGCACUUUGUUUAAAAAUACUUAGGUUAGAUGGAGAUUUGAUAACACUUCCCUAGCAAUGGGUUUAUGACUUACACUUUAAAGACACUGGGCAAAAGCAACAGAAAUCCAGACAAAGUCUUCCAUGUCACAGAUAGAAUUGGCAAGUGUUUCCCUUAUCUGCACAGUACAGUUUUUUCCAACUUCCAGUAUUCAGUAAAAAGGAUUCACAGAUUUUUAAAGCCAAAGCAAUCGGUGCAAGUGGUGACUGUAACCUCGUCUACAAUAACUUCCAUGAACAUUCAUACUCUAAUUUUCGCUUCACACCAAAUAACCACCAGUUAUACCAAAGCAUGUUUUACA